GACGAACGCUGCGGCGUGCUUAACACAUGCAAGUCGAACGAUGAACCCGGAGCUUGCUCCGGCGGAUUAGUGGCGAACGGGUGAGUAACACGUGAGUAACCUGCCCUUGACUCUGGGAUAACUGCUAGAAAUGGUAGCUAAUACCGGAUACGACCCUCGGUGGCAUCACCAGGGGGUGGAAGGAAUUUCGGUCAAGGAUGGACUCGCGGCCUAUCAGCUAGUUGGUGAGGUAACGGCUCACCAAGGCGACGACGGGUAGCCGGCCUGAGAGGGUGACCGGCCACACUGGGACUGAGACACGGCCCAGACUCCUACGGGAGGCAGCAGUGGGGAAUAUUGCACAAUGGGCGCAAGCCUGAUGCAGCAACGCCGCGUGAGGGAUGACGGCCUUCGGGUUGUAAACCUCUUUUAGUAGGGAAGAAGCGAAAGUGACGGUACCUGCAGAAAAAGCACCGGCUAACUACGUGCCAGCCGCCGCAGUAA
rnacentral:rRNA from 1 species